rnacentral:rRNA from 1 species
AGCCACCCUCCGUCCUUUCUUAUCCCAAACACAACAACUCGUGCAGCUCUCCCCUGGUCGAAGCAGAGGCAUUUCGACGAACAUGUCGCUCGUCACAGCUUUUCUGGCGGGCUCGGCGGCGCCGGCGGUCGCGCCACGGUCCGCUCGCCCGUCGGCGGGCUUCUUUGGGGUCGGCGGAGGGUGCGCGCUGUCAGUGGAGUGCUCGUCGCGGCCGCAGAAGAAAGGGACCAAGCACCAUAUGAAGACGCGGCCCAAGAAAACGCAGCGGUGGGACAUCAAGCGCCGCCCCAUUCAGUACGAGCCGCUGCCGGCGCUUCCCGAUGACUGGACGCUCGUCGCCGCCGGUGAGAAGGAAGAUGAGGCGCUGCAGGAUGAGGAGACCACGCCCGCUGCCGCCGUUGAGUUCGAGGUGGUCGCCGCCCCUGCCGCCGCAGACUGACGCCGUGAAGUCCACCGUUGCCUCUCUGUAUUUUAUUUCCUUGAACUCUCCGCACGCAUGGUUUUUGCUUGAGAUUAUUAUAACCGCUGCUACACUUUGCAAUUACAAUCGUGAAGUCUACUUCAGUGGCCACUGCACCUUUAGAUUUAGUGGUUGCUUUGCUCGAUGAUUUAUGCUUUCACGUUGUGUGCAAUUCGAUUUUACCCAGUGUUUCUCGGUUCGGCCAUGGGUUGGUGAUAGGUUCAAGCUGUCAAAGCAUUACAAAGGGGCAGCAGGAAUGUGGCUACAACAAAAUGCUGGUGGGUAAACUCUCUUGAAGUUUGAUCGUUUUGGAUGACCCUAGUGCUGCCUACUCCCUAGAUACAUCCGUUUGUUUGAGUGUCAAUUAAUAUGGGACGGAGGUAGUACUGUAUAUACCAUCUCCCAGAUUGAUUUUUGGUCUGUCAGAGCUGGAGACACUGGGUAUAGGAAGUACAUUUGUGAUCACAUUGCUGUCAAAGCUAAAAAAUACCUUCACGCCUGUCUCGUGCCUACUGAUGAUUUGCUUCCCAGCAGUUAUGUCAGAUGAAUUGAUCAGCCCUUGAAGGAAUUUUGCUUGACAACUUACAAGAGCUAUGUACAGAAAAGGUAUAUUCAUGAUUUGGAUGAGCAUGGUGUGAAAGUGCCCAGAGGAUUGGGAGAAUGAAGGCCCUGCACACACUUGGUGUUGUGAACACUGCACGGGGGAAGGCCAUUUUGAAGGGGAUCUGGGUGAGCUUACUCAGUUGCGUAAGCUUGGAACGGAGUGACUGGCAUCAACAAGAGAAACUGCAAGGAGCUCUGUUCUGAUAUCAUCGAUCAUGUCCGCUUGCUGUCCUUGUCGAUGUGCUCAGGGUGAACCUGGGUUAGAACUUGGACGUCUAGAUAAAUUGUCCCCACCUCAAGAUGGCCUUCAUAUUCAUAGCCUUAAGUUGUAUGGCUAUCUGGUCAAAUUGCCUACAUGGAUUGAAUAGCUACAGAUGCUAGCCAAGUUAACUCAACGGAGUACCCAAGUGAAGCAUGCUGACAUAGUACACGUAGCACUGGGGAAGCUGACCAAACUUGCCAUUCUACGUCUUCAUAACGAUCCGUUUGAAAAGGGAGAAGUCCACUUGCAAGGCUAACAUUUCUUGAGCCCGCGAACCUAUCUGGCCUCAAAUCGGCCAAGUUUGAAGAAGUGCUUCCUAAGCUUGAGCUGCUACAGGUACACAUUGUUUUGUAAGCAACACCGAGGGGUUCUCCGGGAUACAAUUUUUGCCAUGGAAGUUUCGAUCAAUGGCGAUAACGGUGGCUUCAGUGAAAAUUCAAGGAAGCCUUGCAGGACCAAGUGACCGAGAACCAUAACAAACCAAAUCUCAAGACGGAGCAUUUUGUUUUAAGCACCAGUCCAGACUGCUGCUUGGUCCUCUCUCCUCUCAUACGGUUCUUCUCACGAGGUUUUUUAACAUGCUCCCUCUUACCUCCCCUUUUCACAUGAAAGGUAAAGCCGUUGUUGCAUUUAAUAGUGGGUUUGAUUAACUCUUACCCCCCUCUAUUCCUAAAUAUAAGAUCUUCUAGAGAUUCCAAUAUGAACUGCAUACGAAGUGAAAUGAGUGAAUCUACACUCUAAAAUAUUUUUAUAGUCCGAAUUGAAAUUCCUAAAAGGUCUUAUAUUUAGAAACAGAGGGAGUACCUUCUUAUCUCCUAUGUGAAAAGAGGAGGUAAGAGGGAGCAUGUUAAAAUUGCUCUCUUCUCACGAAUAUUUCUCAUUCUGCAUUCCUUUCAAUAUAUUUCAGCAUAUGAUGGAUCAUUUGGUAAAACAAGGAGAGAUAAUUCUGCACCAUUUCUUAUUCCCAUCUGAU